AUAGUAGGCAAUUUAAUUAAACAUCUUAGCAGGUACAGAAUUUAAUCUCAGACAAGACAAAAACUAUUAGUUUUUGUUCUAUAUUGUACAAAUUGGGGGAUCGUGAAGAUUUUAUCAGUGAGUAUGUAGACUCGGAAUGGCAAAGAUGUAUGUUAAAUUAUCAGACAUAGAAUGAUAAGGUUGUAUGUCAAAAGGGAAACAGCCCAGAACAAGAGUUAAGGUUCCUAAAUUAUUAGUUAAGUGAAAUUAAGAAAGUUUUUAUUUAAGUCGACAAGGAGAUAGGCUUAGAAGCAGCCAUAAUUUUAUGACCUCGUAACAGAGCGCUUGUUAAGUUGUAGAAGCAUCGAAAAUUUAACGGAUCUAAACAAUAUACCGAAACCUUGUCCAUAUAAGGUAAAAUGUAUUUUUAAUUAUGUGGGGUAGCAGAACGUUGAAUUAAACUAAGACUUCUAUUUUUUAAAUAAAAGUAAAUAUUAUAUUUAAAAAGAUUUUUUAAUUCUAGGUUUUAUUAUAAGUUGAAAGAGAUUUUAACUGACAAAGAGUAAUAUUUCUUAGGUACAAAAAUUAACAGAUCUUUUCUAAAUAUUAAAGAAUGAAAUUCAAGUGAGAAUGGUGACAUGAGUAACUAAAAGAAAAAUUUAAUUUUUCCGCCUAAAGCUUAUGGAUGAUAUUAAGUAACGGCCUCUAAGUUUAAAAUUAUCUAAAGGUUUAAACGAUGAGAAAUCUUUAUUACUAAGGACGACAUUUUAGUGUAAAAUGUACUGGAAAAAUAGUAAUACGAUUAUACUAAUUAUUCAAUAGAAUAAGGAUAUAACGAAAACAACCGUACCUAGAUUCUGAAACAAGUAAGCUAGUAGAGAAUACGAAGGCGUAAAUGAGCUAACAAUCAUAAAGGAACUCGGCAAAUUGACUACCGUAACUUCGGAAUAAGGAGGGCUCAUUAUUCUUGAUUAAUAUCAAGUAAAAAGGAAGAAGCAUGAAAUAGUGUUGUACGACUGUUUAAUUAAAACACAGCACUUUGCUGAAAGAUUAAAAAUCUAAGUAUAAAGUGUGAGAUCUGCCCGGUGCCGGCUGGUUAACAGAGGCAACUAGGUAUACUACUAUCUAAUGUCGACGGAAACCCCGGUUAAAGGCGGCCUUAACGUGAGGGUC
rnacentral:ncRNA from 1 species